AUUGAACGCUGGCGGCAGGCCUAACACAUGCAAGUCGAACGAGUGGCGGACGGGUGAGUAAUGUCUGGGAAACUGCCCGAUGGAGGGGGAUAACUACUGGAAACGGUAGCUAAUACCGCAUACCAUCGGAUGUGCACAGAUGGGAUUAGCUAGUAGGUGGGGUAAAGUCUCACCUAGGCGACGAUCCCUAGCUGGUCUGAGAGGGUGACCAGCCCCACGGGAACUUGGACACGGUCCUGCCUCCUACGGUAGGCAGCAGUGGGGAAUAUUGCACAAUGGGCGCAAGCCUGAUGCAGCCAUGCCGCGUGUGUGAAGAAGGCCUUCGGGUUGUAAAGCACUUACAGCGGGGAGGCGUUACCCGCAGAAGAAGCACCGGCUAACUCCGUGCCAGCAGCCGCGGUAAUAC
rnacentral:rRNA from 1 species